UUUUGGAUAAUAAACGUUCCCGUUUUAAACAAGAUAUUUUGUCACGGAAAAGAUGCUCAACUAUGCAUAUAAUUGACAGCUUUGAAUAGAAAACACUGACGUUUCCAAAACUGCAAAGAUUUUGUCUGUGAGUGCAACAGAACUGAUGUUACAAGCGAAACCCAGAUAAAAAUCUAAUCAGGAAGUGCCGCAUUUUUUGAAACCGCCUCAUGCCAAUGACUCCUUAUAUGGCUGUGAAUGAGCUACGAAUGAGCUUACGUUUUCUACGUAUUCCCCAAGGUGUCUACAGCAUUGUGACGUCUUUUUACGCAUUUAUGUUGAAAAAUAGCCGUAAGGGACCACAUUUAGCAAGUGGUCACAUGAUAUCUCCCGCAGAAAAUCUUGCAUAAAGUACUGAGGUAGCCAUUUUUCCAAUCGCUUCUUAUGAGAAACCAAUUGUCUCGACGGAUAUAUAAAGUUUGGCUUGUAGUGACUGCAUUUUCCGGUCGAUUUCUCAGCCAUACCUGACGAACAAACGGUAGCUAUUUUGCCUACAAAAAUAAUAUUUUGGGAAAAAAGGAACACUUGCUAUCUAACUGGGAGUCUCCUGAGUGAAAACAUCCAAAGUUCUCCGAUAAUAGAUACAAAACAAAAACGCAAACAUAAAUUAAUCAACUCUAAUUACCACAUGUAGGUCAGUAUGCAGUUGUAUUUCUCACAUGUGCAGCAAAUAGUAUUUGUUUUACAGUCCUUCUUUGCGGGGCAGAAUUGUUAUCUCCUCUUGCAUUCCCCAGCUGCAGCCUCAGGUGGAUCAGGACAAGAUUCAGCCCCCUGAACAGCCUUCACAAGCGCUGCAGAGGCUGCUGUGGAGGAGGCACUCCCUUCUUUGAAUGUGUGGGGUUUGGAAAGUGCCAUUCCCACCUGCUCCAGGAACAACCUCCUCUUGUUCUGCUUCGCAGGAAUCCAGGAUGAUGGCUGGCUUCCUGUCCUCGUGAUCACUGAUCUCAGCCGCUGUGUGCAGUGUGCCCUUGUUCCUCUUUAGGAGGAGCUGCUGGCUGAGUUCAUAAGAGGUGAAGAAAUUGUCAAACGUGACAUUGUGCCCCAUCAGUCCAACUGUCACAUCGAGCACCACCCACAUCCCCUGGUUCUUCUCCGGGCCUCCACUGGUCGGUUUUCCUGUGUAGACUUGCAUCUUCCAAGCGUAGCUGGAUUGUGCGUCACAGGCCACCCAUAUCUUGAUGCCAUACUUUGCUGGCUUGCUGGGCAUAUACUGCAGGGAAGGACAGCAACCUUUUUGACAAGAGAUUACGAUCAUUAAUUGUUUUCUGUGACACUGAUACUAAUCACAUAAAACAAUGGUAUUAGAGCAAUACAUAAUAAAAUGAACAGUGAAAAUCACUUACAUUACAGAUAUGA